AUGAACGUUGGCGGCGUGGAUUAGGCAUGCAAGUCGCGCGACAAGGCGUCUAUAGCAAUAUAGAAGCUGGAGGAGCGGCGAAAGGGUGAGGAACACGUGGAUACCUACCCUCAGGCUCGGGAUAGCGGCGGGAAACUGCCGGUAAUACCGAAUAACAUCUCCGGAUCAAAGCUCCGGCGCCUGAGGACGGGUCCGCGUCCCAUUAGCUAGUUGGCGGGGUAAUAGCCCACCAAGGCAUAGAUGGGUAGUGGGCGUGAGAGCGCGACCCACCACACUGGGACUGAGAUACUGCCCAGACACCUACGGGUGGCUGCAGUCGAGAAUCUUCGGCAAUGGGCGAAAGCCUGACCGAGCGACGCCGCGUGGAGGAUGAAGGCCUUCGGGUUGUAAACUCCUGUCGGAGGGGAAGAAAUUUUGACUACCCCCUCGGAGGAAGCCCGGGCUAAGUUCGU
rnacentral:rRNA from 1 species